rnacentral:lncRNA from 10 species
AGGUGCAGUGGCUUCUAUGUUUUGGGUUGAUGCUGAAUUAGGGAGUGAUAUUUAUCUUGAUGGUAUCAUAACUAUUGUGGAUUCAAAAUAUGGAUUAAAAGUGAAAUACCACUAAAGGCAGAAAAGAAUGAAAUCAUCCCACCCACUGACCCGUUCCCAAUCUGAGCAUAUGGAUAGGGCCCAAAGCACAUUUAACAGAAGAGAAACCUGAUGGCCUUAUCAAUGAAGCUACUAGACAAGUUGCUUUGGCAGAUGCCAUUCUCAUUAAUAAAACAGACCUGGUUCCAGAAGAAGAUGUAAAGAAAUUAAGAACGACAAUUAGAUCCAUAAAUGGACUAGGACAAAUCUUAGAAACACAAAGAUCAAGGCUCAGCAGCUAAUAGACUCAGCAACAGGCAGCCAGGAGCUCUGAGGCUCACAGCUGGCAGUCUAGUUCCACUCAGUCUCUACUGGAGAAAUUCUUUCUUUGGAAGUACAGCAGAGGCCUUAGACAGAAUCUCACUCUGGUUUGAGACAGAAUCUCACUCUGUCCCCCAAGUUGGAGUGCGGUGGUGCGACCUCGGCUCACUGAAACCUCUGCCUCCU